GAGCAGCCACAGGGGAGGAGACACUGCAAAAUGGGGUCACUGUCCCAGCUUCUCUGCGGGCUCCUCAUGCUUUUGGUCCCAGGUUCCAGGGGGGCAAUUGUGCUGACCCAGUCUCCAGCCUCAGUGUCUGUGACCCCAGGAGAGAGGGUCACCAUCAGCUGCAAGGCCAGUCAGAGUGUCAAACACAGUGAUGGAAAAACGUAUCUGUACUGGCUCCAACAGAAACCUGGACAAUCUCCUUGGCGCCUCAUUUACCAGGUUUCCAACCUGGAUUCAGGAGUCCCUGCCCGGUUCAGUGGCAGUGGUGCUGAGAAGGAUUUCACCCUCACAAUCAGCAGUGUGGAGCCUGAGGAUGGGGCAGAUUAUUACUGUUAUCAAACAACUUCUUCUCCUCGCACAGUGUUGCAUCCCGGAACAAAAACAUCCCCAGGCCCAGGCUGGUUGGUCAGGGUGGCUCAGCUGUCUCCUCUCCUUUCCCUCCCGCAGCAGCUGCUGGGCUGCCUGCUCAGGGGCAGGGUCUCUGGGGCUGACAUGAGAAAAGGGGCCCAGGGCUCAGGGGAAAGGCCAUGGUCUGGCAGCUCUGUGUCCUGA